GUGGGGAAUCUUGCGCAAUGGGCGAAAGCCUGACGCAGCCAUGCCGCGUGAAUGAUGAAGGUCUUAGGAUUGUAAAAUUCUUUCACCGGGGACGAUAAUGACGGUACCCGGAGAAGAAGCUCCGGCUAACUUCGUGCCAGCAGCCGCGGUAAUACGAAGGGGGCUAGCGUUGCUCGGAAUUACUGGGCGUAAAGGGCGCGUAGGCGGACAGCUUAGUCAGAGGUGAAAGCCCAGGGCUCAACCUUGGAAUUGCCUUUGAUACUGGCUGUCUUGAGUACGGGAGAGGUGAGUGGAACUCCGAGUGUAGAGGUGAAAUUCGUAGAUAUUCGGAAGAACACCAGUGGCGAAGGCGACUCACUGGCCCAAUACUGACGCUGAGGCGCGAAAGCGUGGGGAGCAAACAGGAUUAGAAACCCCGGUAGUCC
rnacentral:rRNA from 1 species